rnacentral:rRNA from 1 species
UACGGGGGGGGCAAGCGUUGUUCGGAAUUACUGGGCGUAAAGGGCUCGUAGGUGGCCAACUAAGUCAGACGUGAAAUCCCUCGGCUUAACCGGGGAACUGCAUCUGAUACUGGAUGGCUUGAGUUCGGGAGAGGGAUGCGGAAUUCCAGGUGUAGCGGUGAAAUGCGUAGAUAUCUGGAAGAACACCAAUGGCGAAGGCAGCUCUCUGGGACGGUACUGACACUGAGACGCGAAAGCGUGGGGAGCGAACAGG